rnacentral:rRNA from 1 species
UACGGAGGGUGCAAGCGUUAAUCGGAAUUACUGGGCGUAAAGCGCACGCAGGCGGCUUGUUAAGUCAGAUGUGAAAGCCCCGGGCUCAACCCGGGAACUGCAUCUGACACUGGCAAGCUUGAGUCCCGGAGAGGUGGGUAGAAUUCCAGGUGUAGCGGUGAAAUUCGUAGAGAUCUGGAGGAAUACCGGUGGCGAAGGCGGCCCCCUGGACGAAGACUGACGCUCAGGUGCGAAAGCGUGGGGAGCAAACAGG